AAUGAUGCUUUUUCCCAUGAAACAUCCGCAAACAUUUUGACGGGUCUGGCUUUGCCCUGCUGGAUUACGGAGUGUCCCCCUCUCCCUCUCUCUCCCCCCCACCCCCCACCCCCACGAUCUGCCUCUGCCCUCUCCCUCCCCACCCCGCUCCCUGCCCCUCGCCUGGCUCCGCGCACCCCUGAGCUGGGGCUCUCCGCACCCCGGGACCUUGGGGCUCCCGUCCCGUCCAUGGGAAGAGCAUGCAUUGUGGGUUGCUGGAGGAACCCGAUAUGGACUCCACAGAGAGUUGGAUUGAACGAUGUCUCAAUGAAAGUGAAAACAAACGUUAUUCCAGUCACACCUCUCUGGGGAAUGUUUCUAACGAUGAAAGUAAGUAGCUUUUCAUUAAUUUAAAGUGCGUGUAAAAGUAUCCGAGUGCUAAUUUCCUGCUAUAUAUGCUGCCACAUCCUCAUAAUAUUUUUUUAUUAGGUACUUUUGAAGAGUCAACUCACUGACACAUCCAGUAGUUUUAUCAAUGUUUUUGCUGGAAUAUUGGUUACUUCCCAUUUUUUACAAAAAAGUAAUGCAAUCUAUGAGUUAAAACAUCCAGAAGAAUUCAUGCAUCCCUGAAUAAAGUUUGGAUGACCUCUAAAGUGUUCUAUUAG
rnacentral:lncRNA from 1 species